UACAGCUCCAUAAUCCAUACAGGGCAGAGGACCAUAAACCAUAGCCAGUCUAUUCCCCAUGUAGGUACGAGGUGAGCCAUGUAAUCCCAUCCCAGGUAGGUCCAUCCCAGGUAGGUCCAUCCCAGGUAGGUCCAUCCCAGGUAGGUCCAACCCAGGUAGGUCCAUCCCAGGUAGCCAUAGACAGGUAUGUCCAUCUCGGGUAGCCAUAGACAGGUAUGUCCAUCUCGGGUAGCCAUAGACAGGUAUGUCCAUCUCGGGUAGCCAUAGACAGGUAUGUCCAUCUCGGGUAGCCAUAGACAGGUAUGUCCAUCUCGGGUAGCCAUAGACAGGUAUGUCCAUCUCGGGUAGC